rnacentral:lncRNA from 1 species
CCCAGAGCCGCCACAGUCUCCCUUGUGGUCCCUGCCUAUCAAUGUCUGCUCUUAUUCCACAAUGAGGCUGGACUGUCUUGGCAGGGAAAGCUUCAUGGGAUCAGGAUUUUUCUGUGGUGGACUCCACUGUGUUUACAACUGAUUUGGGAUGAUGCGGUGCUGUAAAGAGCUACCAAUAAACUAGAAGUUUGGUCUAACGGGAGAAGAACAGAGAAAAAAAUCCCUUUCUCCUGGUGCAGGGAUACAUUCAGACUGGACUGCUUAUUUUUGGUUUGCUGCCAAUAUGUUCCUCGGAUAGGAGGGGGCUGGUUUAGAUGUAGUUUCCCUCUCAUAAAAGCUGCUACCCGCACUGCAAUGGUGGACAUGACUGUGAACUUUAAGAUUCAAGAAGGCUGUUCUAAAAGCUACUGGAAAGAGUGUGAAAAUGCUCUAAAACUACAACUGGCCAUCCCAAGUGCUAAUGAGAGAGCCACAAGGUGCUUCCCCACCAGAGAAGGCUGCUGUGUACCCUGCAGUCCCUCUAAGGACCUGACUGUUGGAGAAGAGGGAGUAGCCUAUCUACUUACGGAAGAAUUCCAGAAGGAUGGCUGUUUAUCCCUCCUGCUGUCACGUUCCAUCUUUCUAGCUUGUGGGCUUUUGCAAAGGAAGGUUAUCAGCAAUCUGCUGCAGAGUCCUUCCCACUCAGUAAAUCAAAGCCUUGCUCUUCUCCGGUUCAUUUCCAUGGACAGAUGA